AGUGAACGCUGGCGGCAGGCCUAACACAUGCAAGUCGAACGGCAGCACAGUAAGAGCUUGCUCUUACGGGUGGCGAGUGGCGGACGGGUGAGGAAUACAUCGGAAUCUACUUUUUCGUGGGGGAUAACGUAGGGAAACUUACGCUAAUACCGCAUACGACCUACGGGUGAAAGCAGGGGAUCUUCGGACCUUGCGCGAUUGAAUGAGCCGAUGUCGGAUUAGCUAGUUGGCGGGGUAAAGGCCCACCAAGGCGACGAUCCGUAGCUGGUCUGAGUGGAUGAUCGGCCACACUGGAACUGAGACACGGUCCAGACUCCUACGGGAGGCAGCAGUGGGGAAUAUUGGACAAUGGGCGCAAGCCUGAUCCAGCCAUACCGCGUGGGUGAAGAAGGCCUUCGGGUUGUAAAGCCCUUUUGUUGGGAAAGAAAAGCAGCAGGUUAAUACCCCGCUGUUCUGACGGUACCCAAAGAAUAAGCACCGGCUAACUUCGUG
rnacentral:rRNA from 1 species